rnacentral:snoRNA from 1 species
AAGCCAGUCAACAAAUCUGCUACCUGAGUGUGUUUCUGCAGAAAUUUAGAAGCUAGCAAUAGUGGACAUUGAGGUCAUUAUAUUCCCUGAAAAUGGGAGCU